rnacentral:rRNA from 1 species
CCUACGGGGGGCUGCAGUGGGGAAUAUUGGACAAUGGGGGCAACCCUGAUCCAGCCAUGCCGCGUGUGUGAAGAAGGCCCUCGGGUUGUAAAGCACUUUCAGUGAGGAAGAACGCCUGGUGGUUAAUACCCAUCAGGAAAGACAUCACUCACGGAAGAAGCACCGGCUAACUCCGUGCCAGCAGCCGCGGUAAUACGGAGGGUGCGAGCGUUAAUCGGAAUUACUGGGCGUAAAGCGCGCGUAGGUGGCUUGAUAAGCCGGUUGUGAAAGCCCCGGGCUCAACCUGGGAACGGCAUCCGGAACUGUCAAGCUAGAGUGCAGGAGAGGAAGGUAGAAUUCCCGGUGUAGCGGUGAAAUGCGUAGAGAUCGGGAGGAAUACCAGUGGCGAAGGCGGCCUUCUGGACUGACACUGACACUGAGGUGCGAAAGCGUGGGUAGCAAACAGGAUUAGAUACCCUGGUAGUC